rnacentral:rRNA from 1 species
GAUGAACGCUAGCUACAGGCUUAACACAUGCAAGUCGAGGGGCAGCAUUACGGUAGCUUGCUACUGUAGAUGGCGACCGGCGCACGGGUGAGUAACGCGUAUCCAACCUGCCCAUGACUUGGGGAUAACCUUGCGAAAGCAAGCCUAAUACCCGAUACGCUUCAUAGAUGGCAUCUGAAAUGAAGUAAAGGUUUACGGUUAUGGAUGGGGAUGCGUCCGAUUAGCUUGUUGGCGGGGUAACGGCCCACCAAGGCAUCGAUCGGUAGGGGUUCUGAGAGGAAGGUCCCCCACAUUGGAACUGAGACACGGUCCAAACUCCUACGGGAGGCAGCAGUGAGGAAUAUUGGUCAAUGGAGGCAACUCUGAACCAGCCAAGUAGCGUGCAGGAUGACGGCUCUAUGGGUUGUAAACUGCUUUUAUGCGGGGAUAAACUGACUCACGUGUGGGUCAUUGCAGGUACCGCAUGAAUAAGGACCGGCUAAUUCCGUGCCAGCAGCCGCGGUAAUACGGAGGAUGCGAGCGUUAUCCGGAUUUAUUGGGUUUAAAGGGAGCGUAGACGGGUUUUUAAGUCAGCUGUGAAAGUUUGGGGCUCAACCUUAAAAUAGCAGUUGAAACUGGAGACCUUGAGUACGGUUGAGGCAGGCGGAAUUCGUGGUGUAGCGGUGAAAUGCUUAGAUAUCACGAAGAACCCCGAUUGCGAAGGCAGCCUGCUAAGCCACCACUGACGUUGAGGCUCGAAAGUGCGGGUAUCAAACAGG